GAGUAGGGUUGUGUUAGGAGUAGGGUUAGGAGUAGGGUUAAGGGUAGGGGUAGGCUUGGGCUAGGAGUAGGGUUAGGAGUAGGGUUAGGGUACCUCUACCCCUAACCCUAAACUACCCCUACCCCGAACCCUACCUUAACCCGACCCCUACUCCUAACUCUAACCCUACCCUAACCCUUCUCCUAACCCAACCCUAAGCCUACUCCUAACCCUAACCCUGCUUCUAACCCUACCCUAACCCUACCCUACCCUAAACCUACUCCUAACUCUAUCCCUACCCUAACCC